rnacentral:rRNA from 1 species
CAACUUUCAACAACGGAUCUCUUGGCUCUCGCAUCGAUGAAGAACGCAGCGAAAUGCGAUAAGUAAUGUGAAUUGCAGAUUUUCAGUGAAUCAUCGAAUCUUUGAACGCACCUUGCGCUCUUUGGUAUUCCGAGGAGCAUGCCUGUUUGAGUGUCAUUA